AAGGCUUGACAUACACCAGAACGGGCCAGAAAUGGUCAACUCUUUGGACACUGGUGAACAGGUGGUGCAUGGUUGUCGUCAGCUCGUGUCGUGAGAUGUUGGGUUAAGUCCCGCAACGAGCGCAACCCUCGUUCUAUGUUGCCAGCACGUAAUGGUGGGAACUCAUGGGAUACUGCCGGGGUCAACUCGGAGGAAGGUGGGGAUGACGUCAAAUCAUCAUGCCCCUUAUGUCUUGGGCUUCACGCAUGCUACAAUGGCCGGUACAAAGGGCUGCAAUACCGUGAGGUGGAGCGAAUCCCAAAAAGCCGGUCCCAGUUCGGAUUGAGGUCUGCAACUCGACCUCAUGAAGUCGGAGUCGCUAGUAAUCGCAGAUCAGCAACGCUGCGGUGAAUACGUUCCCGGGUCUU
rnacentral:rRNA from 1 species